CGCUGAUGCCCUUCUUGGGUGUUUUUCUCCCUAGACUCGGGUCGCUUGUGGCAACGCAAGCGGCUUUUUUUUGGGUUGU
rnacentral:sRNA from 1 species